rnacentral:rRNA from 1 species
AGAGUUUGAUCCUGGCUCAGAAUCAACGCUGGCGGCGUGCCUAACACAUGCAAGUCGAACGCGGUUACCCCGCAAGGGGUAACUGAGUGGCGAACGGGUGAGUAACACGUGGGUGACCUACCUUCGAGUGGGGGAUAACGUCCCGAAAGGGACGCUAAUACCGCAUAACAUCCUGCCUUUGAACAGGUGGUGAUCAAAGCCGGGGACCGCAAGGCCCGGCGCUUGAUGGGGGGCCCGCGUCUGAUUAGCUAGUUGGUGGGGUAACGGCUCACCAAGGCGACGAUCAGUAUCCGGCCUGAGAGGGCGGACGGACACACUGGGACUGAGACACGGCCCAGACUCCUACGGGAGGCAGCAGUGGGGAAUUGUUCACAAUGGGCGCAAGCCUGAUGACGCAACGCCGCGUGGAGGAUGAAGGUCUUCGGAUUGUAAACUCCUGUUGCCCGGGACGAAAAGCUUCGACCUAAUACGUCGAAGUCUGACGGUACCGGGUGAGGAAGCCCCGGCUAACUCUGUGCCAGCAGCCGCGGUAAUACAGAGGGGGCAAGCGUUGUUCGGAAUUACUGGGCGUAAAGGGCGCGUAGGCGGCCUGCUAAGUCGAACGUGAAAUCCCCGGGCUCAACCCGGGAACUGCGUCCGAUACUGGUAGGCUUGAAUUCGGGAGAGGGAUGCGGAAUUCCAGGUGUAGCGGUGAAAUGCGUAGAUAUCUGGAGGAACACCGGUGGCGAAGGCGGCAUCCUGGACCGACAUUGACGCUGAGGCGCGAAAGCCAGGGGAGCAAACGGGAUUAGAUACCCUGGUAGUCC